GUUUGUUUUUAUUUUCUUUCCUCAGAUGGGAUCAACUGUAAAUUCACUGAUAUUUUUCUUCUGUCUACUCCAAUCUGCUUUUGCACCCUUCUAGUGAAUUUUUUAUUUCAAUGGUUAUACUUUUUAACUGCAGAAUUUCUGCAUGUUUCCUUUUUUAUAAUUUCCAUCUCUUUAUUGAUAUUUUCUUAGUGGUAAGCUACAUUGUGAUUGUUUCUUUAGCUCUUUGAGCAUAUUUUAAAUAAUUGAUUAAAAAUUUUUGUCUAAUCAUCCCAAUGUCUUAUCAAGCACCAAAUCUGCUUAUACAGCCUCUGAAAUGUUUAAGAUUCCAGAAUUAUCCUAAAUAUGAAGGGCUGAUGGUCCAGCAAGACUUGUGGAAGACUUCUUAAGCAAAACAGAUUUUUACAUAUGAGAGAGUUUAGGUACAAAACUUUAACACUUGUCUUGAGUUUCACUGAUGGAGCUGUGAAGAGAGACAUUCCCUUGUCUACAGAGGUCAGGCAUUUUAUUUUAGAAUUAUUCAAAUAAUUAUUCAAAUUAUUCAAAAAGAGUCAUAUCUCCCCAAUUUUGGCUUUCUUGAAGAUUGUCCAAUAGACACCUGUUCAACGUGAGUAAACAGCAAACUUGUCAUAGGAUUGGUAUUCUUACCUCUCCUCCAAAAAUCAGAGAAAUCGCAUAGUGAUAAUACAUUCCAGAAGCAGUGAACAUUUCAGAUCAGUUUUUAAAUACUGAUCUGUCUCCUGUUCAAACCAUGAGAAAAGCUAAUAUGAUAGCUGCUUUCCUGGGAACCUUUUCCUGGCAAUCACAAUAGGAAGAGGCCUGUGAAGAACCCCACAGAAUAGUCCUCUCCAUUGGGCCGCAGUAGUUAAAAUUUAUCACAAGAAAGUGAACAAUGAUUAAGUCUUUGGAAUCUCUUCAUCAUAUCCACAUGGAUUGCAAACAGUUUCAGCUUCAAGAACUUCUGCAAUCCCCUCUUCCUUUCCUCAGAUACAGUCUGGUUAUUGAUGCAUGAGCAAUGUUUACUUCAGUUGGCUUUUUUGGAUCUGCAGCAAACAGGAUUCUCUUUCCACCUGGUUUGUGAUUAUCAUUACUAUACCAAACUUAUCAGCAAGUUGUAGAAGCAUCUGUGGAAAUCUGACCACCUGUUUGGUGGAGAGCUCUCCUUAACCCAAGUAGUCUGUUCUACAGAGAGUAUAUAUACUAUCUAUAAUACACAGUUACAUACCUGGACUCCACCUUCAUGGUUGAUGCUUUAUAAAGAAACUGGGGCUGCAGUUGUAACUUAGUGGUAGAGCAGUUACCUGUCAUGCACAAGGCAUGGUUUGUCCUCAGUUGUGCAAAACAAAUACAAAAAAAGAAGCUUAUUUUGAUGGUCUGUGUUGAAUACUCAGGAAUAAGCUAUGUUGUCCAGAACAUGACUGCCAUAAAGGCCAUAUCUCUCUUUAUUUUUUAUGUAGUGUUGAGGAUUACAGGUGCCCUCUGUGUCAGUGUAUAUGGACUUCCUUCCCCUCUACCCAAGUCAAUGAGAAGCUGGCAAAUUAACAGUUAGUGUAUGACAGCUCUGGUUUUCCCAGUUUACUAUUCUCCAAACAUCUCUGUGAUCCUGUCUCAAUUCUACAAGGAAGUUGUCUUUCAAACACUUUGGAGCCAGUUGUAAUAUAUUUGAUUUCUGACUGCCUUUGGUAGAAUUCGUUUGCAUUGCUGAAACUCACUUGAACUAAUUUAGCUGCCUCAGCAAUUACCUUUAUUAGCCCUUUGGUGGAGAGAAGAUUGCCUUUGCAGUAUGGAAUCCAGUUUCUUCUGAUUUUUUUCACAUCAUUGUUCUCCAUUCCUCUAACUGUGAAAUAGAGUGUGGGCUGAAGCUUUCUUCUUCCACUGAAGUAUCUGCAUUUGCUUCAGGCUGCAUCUGAAUAGCUAUGACUUUACUUCCUGUUCUUCAGACACCCUCUGCUUAAAGCUCUUGCAAACCCAACUGAGGUUAUAUCAUAUUUAAAUUUUAUUUCUUCUGCUUGUUUUUGGUGUUUAACUUCCUUUUCAAAGCAUCUUUUUUAAAGUUUAUUAAAAAAUAUUUUUUAGUUGUAAAUGAACACAAUAUCUUUAUUUAUUUUUAUGUGGUGCUGAGUAUCGAACGCAGUGCCUCACAUGUGCAAGGCAAGUGCUCUACUGAGCCAUAGUCCCAGCUCUUUUUUAAAGUUUUUAAGGUACAGGACUGGGGCUGGGGCUCAGUGGUUGAGCUCUUGACUCACACGUGAGGCACUGGGUUUGAUCCUCAGCACCACAUAAAAAAUAAAUGAAUAAAUAAAGAUAUUAUGUCCAUCUGCAGCUAAAAAUAUUAAAACAAACAAAAGUUAAGGUAUAAUCCUAGGUUUUUAUUUAGAGAAUUUUCUCAUUUGUUAACAUCACUAUUUAUUGUAAAAAUUUUUUUUUUAAUUUUUUUUUUUAGUUGUAGAUGGACACAGUAUCUUUGUUUUAUUUAUUUAUUUUUGUAUCUGGUGCUGAGGAUCGAACCCAGUGCCUCACGCAUGUGAGGCGAGCACUCAGCCACUGAGCUACAGCCCCAGCCCUAUUGUAAAAUUUUUAAGCAGUGCUUCAGCUAUCACAAUUUUAUAUCUCAUCUUUUCAUUUUCAUUCAGUUCAAAAUAUUUUCUAAUUUCCUUCAAAAUUUGAUAUUUAUCCAUUACAUGUCUUAGUAAUGUAUUGUUUAAUUUCUAAUUGUUUGUAGACUUUCUGUGUGUCUUUCUGCUAUUGAUUUCCAAUUGAAUUACGUUAUGGCCAGAGAACAUACUUUCAAUUAGUUCAAUUCCUUUAGCUUUAGUAUUGUUUUAUUUGUGAUUCACAAGUUUGUUUAUUUUCUUGAAUGUUCCAUGUCUAUUUUAAAGCAGUUUGUAUUCUCUUGUUUUUUGGGGGAAAGUGUGGUAUAGAUGUCUUUUAGGUGAAUACGAUUGAUGAUUGGUGUUCAUGUCUUGUAUGGAAUGAUUUUUUUUUCAACUCAUUCUGUGAAUUACUGAAACUGUUAUAUCCAAGUAUAAUUGAAACUUUGUUUCUUUAGUUCUAUCAAUCUUUGUUUUAUUUAGAAUGGUUUUGUUGUCUUCUUGACAAUCUAAUCAUUUUUUCAUAUCCUCCUCCUUGCUAAUAUCCUCAUGUUGACAUUUGUUUUUCUGAUAUCAGUAUAGCCAUAACAGUUUUUAAUUGAUUAGUGUUUGCAUAUUUAUAAGUAAUAUAUAAAGAGGUUUCCUGUGGAAAUCACAUCAGUGGUUCUUGCUUUUUAUCCAUACUGUUAAUCUGAAAAAUAAGGACUGGAAAAUAAAGAGAGUGGUAAAUAUGUGGAUUGAUGUAUGUUAUUAUAGCAUGGCUUAAUAAGCACGCAUUGUGAUGGUUUCAAAAGCAUACCUUAUGACCCUCAGAUUUCACUGAGUGAAAC
rnacentral:lncRNA from 1 species